UAGAUGUAUUCAUCUGUUGUCAGUAUGCAGUGUCAGAUCUACUAACUGAUUUGGGAUCAAAUGACUAGUAAAGGUUUUUGUUGUUGGAAAAAGAAGGUCUGAAGAACAAUUACAACAAAUUAACGCUGAUCUACAGCAGACGCAAGUUACAGAACAGCAUCAGGACCAAUUACAGUACGCUGAGGUGGAUUUUUCCAAACUGCGCAGAAAUAUUCGGUCCAGCCAAAUCAACAGCACCUAUGCUGCUC